UACGUAGGGGCGAGCGUUAUCCGGAAUUAUUGGGCGUAAAGAGUACGUAGGUGGUAACUUAAGCAUGGGGUUUAAGGCAAUGGCUUAACUAUUGUUCGCCUCAUGAACUGGGCUACUUGAGUGCUGGAGAGGAAAGCGGAAUUCCUAGUGUAGCGGUGAAAUGCGUAGAUAUUAGGAGGAACACCAGUGGCGAAGGCGGCUUUCUGGACAGUAACUGACACUGAGGUACGAAAGUGUGGGUAGCAAACAGGAUUAGAUACCCUGGUAGUCCCUGAG
rnacentral:rRNA from 1 species